rnacentral:rRNA from 1 species
AUUGAACGCUGGCGGCAUGCCUUACACAUGCAAGUCGAACGGCAGCGGACCUUCGGGUGCCGGCGAGUGGCGAACGGGUGAGUAAUAUAUCGGGACGUACCUUUCAGUGGGGGAUAACGUAGCGAAAGUUACGCUAAUACCGCAUAUUCUGUGAGCAGGAAAGCAGGGGAUCGCAAGACCUUGCGCUGAUUGAGCGGCCGAUAUCAGAUUAGCUAGUUGGUGAGGUAAAGGCUCACCAAGGCGACGAUCUGUAGCGGGUCUGAGAGGAUGAUCCGCCACACUGGAACUGAGACACGGUCCAGACUCCUACGGGAGGCAGCAGUGGGGAAUUUUGGACAAUGGGCGCAAGCCUGAUCCAGCCAUGCCGCGUGAGUGAAGAAGGCCUCGGUUGU